AUAUAACUGAAAUAGAUGCAGUUGCCUUAAAACAAAAGUGAAGUUUAUAUUUACUAUGGUCUUUGAAUGCAUCACACCCUUCAUGUUAGGUUGAAUAGCGUUUGUCCAGGUUUAGAUCGAACUUGGUUUUGAGUUGUUUUCAUUCAUUGGUUGUUUAAUGUUUUGCCUGCCAAUAGGCGUCUGUUGUUUGAUUGAGGGGCGGGAUUUUAGCUGCUGGGUCCGAAAAUGUCCGUGAGCGUCAAUGUUUUUUUUCUUUGCCAACAAGCUGAGAAAAGCCCGACAGAGAGAGAGAGUUGUCCGACAGAGGGGAGUUUUGGAUAAAAAGUAUAUUUUAAUUGGAGCUGACGAAAAGUUAAUCCGAAAACUACUUAGAAUUCAUCUUCCCAGGAGACGACGAGAGUGGGACCCGUGCUGGCUGCAGUUUCCCAGAAGGAUGGCGCACAUCUGUUCCCUCGCUGCUGUUCAUCCUCGCCACCCCUUGACAAUUUCCGUGCCUACGGUUGGACGCCAUUUUGUUUAAACUGACUUCGAGAAACACCGAUUAAAAAGACUUUAACACCAUACAGCAGACUGAUUGGAGCCUCGCUGGCGGACAAGCAGGCACCAGUGUUACAGGAGCAAGACAGACAGCAGCAGACUGGCAGCAGCAGCAGAGAGAGAGAGAGAGGGCGAGAGCAGAAAGGGAGAAGAAAGAACAGAUGCAAAGGUGAAAACACGAAAGGACAGGGUGAUGCUUGUAAAGGGCAGGAAGGGAAGGAGAGAUGAUGGAUAAAUGAUCAGAGGAGAACGGACAGUUGUAGCAAAGAAGAGGUGUAAAGACUACUGAAUAAUGGAGAAGAAGAAUAAGAGUAAUAAUAUGAGAUUUAAAGAAAGAGGAGAGAAAAGGUUAAGGAGGAAAAGAGAGUCUUAAGGGGAAAAGGUGAGACUGAGUCACGUUGGUGUUGAUGUGCAACAUCCCCACUGCGCUGGUUCCUCUCUUCACAUCACAUACACCACAGGUUUCUGUGUGUGUGUGUGUGAGUGUUUUUUGACUAUCAGCUGCGCCCCUCCUCUCCUCUCCUCUCAGAGCAUGUCCGCAAGUUCCUUUUUUUAGUUUGGAGGAGGAAAACGGAGCUUUUGGAAAACUAGCACAUAACCCCGGACAAAGGCUGUGCGACAGGAAACAAAUUAUGAAGAUAACUCUCUGUCGCCUCUAAAGGUGACAUUUACUCCAACAGAAGUGCUUUUUGGAUGGUUGAAACCCAACCUCACGCUACACAAGUCGGAAUUUAGAGAGGGCUGUGUCCACUUUCCAAAAACUGACAAUCCAACGUUCACGUUCAGUGCAGCGAUUGGCCAAGUGCAUGGAUGUGGGAAGGCAGGGUUUGACUAUUUCUGUCAUGUGAACAAUGGACUGCAACACAAUGAGAAACAAAAUAUGUAUCUCUAUCUGAAAGGACAAGGGGACAUGGAAGUGUGUUGUCAUUUAUUUUUGUUUUUAUUGUGCUGGAUGUCUAAUGAUCAUAAAAGCAUCAGACAGAUACAAUUAUGGAUGUAUAAAUCAUAAGUUUGGCUCUAUCAAAACAAAAUGUGGAGCGCUUGGAGGGGGGGCUUGAACCAGCUGAGACUUAGCAGAGUAACCACAUGUUUGAUGCGAUGCACAGUUUUGUUUCUCAUUGACCAAAACAACUCAAAGAAAACUUUGCAAUUGUUUAGACAUCGCAUUGUGGGUGGUGAUCCUCAUGAAAUCCAGCUAAAAUAUGAGCGUGAACGCACCUUGUUGUCACACAUACACAUUUGGAUUUUCCAGCACAGCAUGGAUAUUUAGUGUUCAUUAGUGCUGAUGUAAUAGAGCAACUCAUAUAAACACACAUCUGUCAAAUCAUCUGUAUUCAUCCAACACACACAGGCAAACAUAGCCGCAUAGUUUGAUUGUUCAGGCAGAUUGUCCACAUGUUGAAAUAAGUAAUUACAUGCCCUUUCUCUUCCCUCAUUCUUUCAGUCAUCUAAUUUUAUAUUUUUAUAAUUAAUUCUCUUGAUUCAUUAGGAAUGGAGGAGAAGAGGGGGGAAAAAUGAGUAGGGAAGUGAGGGAUGAGAGAGGAGUGGAGCAUCUUGCCAUCUGCAUCUCCCCCCUGCAGGGCAAAACGAUGACUCUGUCUCUCCAAACUGCAGUGAAAGUACUCUGUGCACUGAAAUAAUAAAGACUUUGGACUAAAACAAGACGAAUCAAAGCAGCAUAAAGUCUCCUCAAGGCAACCUGACCAUCCCCUGCUUCACCCCUAACCCUCCUACUUCUUUUGUCUCCCUCUCACUUCUCCCCCUUCUUCACUCCAUAACAGUUUGCAUUUCUGUCAUGUUUUAUUUUGAGAUUGGUUCUGACAGCGAUGGAAACCUAAGUGUUCAAAAAGCAAAAGCCGAUAUGCUAAGAGGAGUGCAUUGGCGAUGUGGUGGGAUGGACAGAGACGGAGAGCAGACAGAGAGAGGGAUAUAAAGAGAAAAGGGGCAUUAAAGAUUCAAACUGUGAGAUGGAGACAGACACAAACUAUGGUGACAGAAAAAAAAGAGAGAAAGAAAGAGCUCUGUAAAGCUUCUUUCCUCUUCCAUUUCCAGCAAGUUUAAAGAGGAAUCACAUGAACAGUGGUGGAGGUCGCUGGUGUUGAUUUGCUGUAUACAAACAUCACACAGCAAACUAGUUAUACUAUAUGCUCUUAGUUCAAGUCUGACAAAAGGGCAUAUUGUACAGGACUUUAUGAGUUCAUCAUUCGAGACAGCGAGGCGCUCUGUUUACUAUUCUGUUACAUUUCUCUUUUUGUGUGAGUUGCAUUUUCAUAGUAACCCCCAAUACCCUCUAUUUAUUUUGAUAUUCAGAUGUAUUCAUGAGAAAGAUAUGAAGAGAAAUAGAAAUAGCUUAUCCAAAGUAUGACCAUGACCAGGAUAUUAAGCGGAUAUUCAGACUUCUGUGUGCACAAAAACACAAUUGGGCUGCCAUCUAUUGUUGGAAUCACAGAUAAGAAGAAACUUAUUAUUACUCAUUAUUAUUAUCACAUAUUAAUGUUAAAAUUAUUCUAAU